GUUAAAUUCUCUCUCUAAUUUUCUUCAUCUAUCUUUUUUGUUCCUGCCCAUUUAGUAAAGGUAUUUUUAAUGAUGUCUAAAGUAGGUACGAAAAAUUUUCUACAUACUCUGAGUUUUACACCAUCAAGUUUUGGCAAAUAGCAAUCUAUUCCCAACUUACAUCUAAAAGAACUACCAUCUGAUGUUCGCCAUCUAGUUUUUACAUUUCUUACAUCUACAAGUGCUACCAAAUAGGCUUUUUUAGCUUCCCAGGAAGAUAAUCCCCAAAAAUAAUCGAAUAUGUCCUUUCUCGCUUGCUCAUUUACAGAUCCACAGAGAAUGAUCGAUUUGAUAAUUUUAUGCAUCCGUGGUUGCACGGGGCCUCUCAAAGUUUUCUGUACGGUUUUUUUACGAGAGUUAUCGCAUCAUCUAUCUUCUUGAGUCCUUUGUACUCUUUACCUAGUAACCAUAAUCUUUGAUUGAGUUUUCGUCUAUUAUUGAUACUAAGCAGUUCGUUAUUUAUUUUGUUAUCAUCGUUCUCUGUAUUAUCUACAUCAUCGUUUACAGCUUCAAAUAGUCCAGUUUCAUGAUUAAGUAUUACGUUAGAGGUGGCACUGUUACUACUGACCAAAAUAUUUGAGAUGGAAUUUUCCGAUGGAAUAAUUUCGUUUUUACAGUCGAUCGGAGAUACAACUGGCUCUACUUUUCCACUAUCUAGAUUAUACAGGUCUGAGCAGUCAGCUGCUAAAAUGUCACUGACACAGUCUGAUGAGACAGUAGUUGGAACCACAAAAAUGCUUUGCUGUAGCAUAUCUGUUAUAUUUAUCAUCUGUAUGUUCAUAAAACCAGUGUUGUCAGCCAUGGACCCUGUAUCCUCCUGUUGUAAAAAAAACAUAAUUAAUAGGUGGUUUUGGGUAAGUUAGUGAUGAAGGUUACGUAAGGGUAAAUGACAUCACGCUUUUAGGAGAAGUAAAGUUUUGGUUUCUGCAAUGGUUGUGAUAUAGGGCAAGGUAGG
rnacentral:lncRNA from 1 species